AUUGAACGCUGGCGGCAUGCCUAACACAUGCAAGUCGAGCGGAUGAAGGGAGCUUGUUCCUGGAUUCAGCGGCGGACGGGCGAGUAAUGCCUAGGAAUCUGCCUUGUAGUGGGGGAUAACGUCCGGAAACGGGCGCUAAUACCGCAUACGUCCUGAGGGAGAAAGUGGGGGAUCUUCGGACCUCGCGCUAUCAGAUGAGACUUGGUCGGAUUAGCUAGUUGGUGAGGUAAAGGCUUACCAAGGCGACGAUCCGUAACUGAUCUGAGAGGAUGAUCAGUCACACUGGAACUGAGACACGGUCCAGACUCCUACGGGAGGCAGCAGUGGGGAAUAUUGGACAAUGGGCGAAAGCCUGAUCCAGCAAUGCCGCGUGUGUGAAGAAGGUCUUCGGAUUGUAAAGCACUUUAAGUUGGGAGGAAGGGCAGUAAGUUAAUACCUGGCUGUUUUGACGUUACCAACAGAAUAAGCACCGGCUAACUUCGUG
rnacentral:rRNA from 1 species